GAUGAACGCUAGCGGCAGGCCUAAUACAUGCAAGUCAAGGGGAUAGCAAUAUCACCGGCGGACGGGUGCGUAACGCGUACACAACGUGCCCAAGGGCGGAGGAAAGCGGCGGGAAACUGCCGGUAAUACUCCAUGGUGUUGUUGAGUGGCAUCACUUAACAACUAAAGUACAAGCGCCCUUGGAUCGGUGUGCGUUCGAUUAGCUAGUUGGCGGGUAACGCCACAAGGCUUCGAUCGAUAGGGGGUNUGAGAGCAUGACCCCCCANACGGUACGUGAGACACGGACCCGACCUCCUACGGAGGCAGCAGUAAGGAAUAUUGGACAAUGGGCGGAAGCCUGA
rnacentral:rRNA from 1 species